AACAAACAAAGUGUGAAAUUAAAACGAAACUACAAUAACCCUCAGUCAGGUACAGCAAAACCAACUACCACAACAACCAUCAAUAACCCGACAAUAAAUUUUAACCUAACUAAGUACAUAAAAUAAAUGCAUGAAAGCCUAUAAAACCAGGCUCACCCUGCCCCCACCCUCAAUCAGGAUCAGUAUACAAAGACCCGAGCAUCGAGUGCAAACCUAGCAGUCAAAAAGCAAAAAUCCUAGGCCACCAUGGAAGCAGGAGUUAGCCUCACAACAGCAACAAAAGUUUGUAUCGCACGAAGCUUCGUAAUACGAGAACUGCGGUGUUGUGAUGAACAUCGACCACAAAGUCGUGUUCAGCCACAACAGAAACAAUGGAAGUCAGACUCAGAGGUCUCUGAAGGGUAUCGCACGAAGUCUCGUAACGUCCCUUCAGAACCUCCGACUCAGAUACCCGAAGGUUAUCCUCGACAACACUCCACGGGAGUCGAGCAAAGGAAAAAAUAGCACAAUUCAGCGGAGGCUCCUUCGCACCAAUAAAGUCGAAGGUUCUAAGGCCAAGAAGCGGCGAUCCUCCGCACAAGGAAAAAUCAACAACACCUUCGCAACAUCGAGCAUCAAGCACAAGCAGGCCACAGCAACACAAAGAUCCUUAGGAUCAACACCACCGUGACGUUGCAAUGUAUAAAUGCUGUAGCGCGAAGGUUGUAAUAAAAAUGAGAUCGAAGGUUGCAGCAAACUUAAAAACUUUAUUAUUGAUGAAGAAAUCAUUACAAAAGAAAAGUUACAAGGAAAGAAUAAAAUUAUCCUUCGACCCAUAAAAAGUCGAAGGUUAUAGGUAGCUUGUACAAAUCCAACAUACAAAUCCUCCGUCGACUAAACAACCGAAGGAUCUAUGAGUCACGUACAAAUCUCACGCACGAGUCACCAAAAACCCUAAAAUCACUACAAUAAUCCCGUGCGAGAUAAUCAACCAAAUCGUCAACAUUAAGCGAAGGACGCGCAGCUCUCCACCAGUCUAUCAACCAACCACUUGCAUACAAGUCGCCACGCUUGAACGUCAAUGGCGUCGCAUAGCUUCCUUCGACAAAACGCGGAGAAAGAACACAUCCAGGAGUGGAACGAACAACCUGCGCAGAAAAUCCAAGUCAAAAAACACUGAACCAAGCGAAGGACGCAAACUUGUCAAAAAACCAAAGUCUCGAACCUCCACACGCCCAGGCAGGUAACGCUCAUACACAUCAGGCCCCUCCAGCCAAAAAGAUUCCUCAAUCUCCUCUCCAAAUAUGCGAAGGAUAGGAUACUUCAACUGCAUAAACACAUCAAACCAAGUCAUAAAAAAAAAGAGAAAAACACAAAUAGCCUACGGCAAGAUAGAAACAAAACAAAAACCACCACCUAAGCCGGAGGCCAUAAACCUCGGCGCGCAAGCGACUGGAUAAAUCCAGAUCCUUCGCCAUCAAUAUCAUAUCCAACAAACUCGAACAUAUCCACCAAUCUCAUGUUAGGAAAGGCAACUCGCCAGUACUCCCACAAUUCGCCAGAAACAUAAAUCCCUUUGUAAAAAAUCGAAAGGGGAGUAAUGUAAUGAUCCUGCGCAGGUCCUCCGCCAGAGACCUGCGCAGGAUCAAAGUGUAAAACAAAGGCUUAUCUGAAAACAACUUAAUAUAUUACAUCCUCAACAGUCUGUACAAAAUAGGCAAAACCUCCGGCCUUAUUUACAAAAAGCGUCACAUGCUUGGACGCAAAAAAGACUAAGAAAAACCUAAAAACUAAAAAGCCUCACACCUGAGGCGGAGGAGGAGCAGAAGUCUCGGGCAGCUCUGAAACCUUGGCACCAGAUCCCUCCGGAGCUUUGGCACCAGCAUCACGAGCCUCCGCUCCAGCCUGGGUCGGAGGACGCGCCUCGCUUGGUGGACGCGAAGGACCGGCCUUGUCAACCUUAGCCUUCUUCUUCGCAAUCUCCUACAAAAUACCCAUCUUAAGUAACAUUGCAAAGCAGCAAAGCAAAAUACAAAAAGAAAAAACCAAAUCAAGAAUACCUCAGCGCGACGAGCCUCCGCCAUCUUCUUCGCCUCAGCCC
rnacentral:lncRNA from 1 species